rnacentral:tRNA from 1 species
GGUUGCAGCUCAGUGGUAAAGCAUCUGCUUGGCAUGCAGAGGGUUCCAGGUUCAAUCCCUGACAUCACACU